AGUACAGAAAUACCCGAACGGGUUCUACACUUCUAUACCGAAAUACCCGAAAAUCCGAAAUACCCGACCCGAACCCGAAUGGGUACCCGAACGCCCACCCCUAAUUCUAGUUUUUUUUCUUGUUACACAAAAAUAUCACUUUACAAUUUUAAUACAAACUAUACUUACUUUCAGUUUAAAAUAAUUGAAAGCUGCAUUGGUUU
rnacentral:lncRNA from 1 species